GCGCAGCAGGCGCGAAACCUCCGCAAUACACGAAAGUGUGACGGGCCAUCCCGAGUGCCGUCCGCUGAGGACGGCUUUCCCCAGUGUACAUAGCUGGGGAAUAAGGAGAGGGCAAGCCUGGUGUCAGCCGCCGCGGUAAUACCAGCUCUCCGAGUGGUGGGGACGCUUAUUGGGCCUAAAGCAUCCGUAGCCGGCUGGGCAAGUCCUCCGUUAAAUCCAACGAUUCAAUCGUUGGGCUGCGGGGGAUACUGUCCAGCUUGGGGGCGGGAGAGGCCGACGGUAUUCCCGGGGUAGGGGUGAAAUCCUAUAAUCCCGGGAGGACCACCAGUGGCGAAGGCUGUCGGCUAGAACGCGCCCGACGGUGAGGGACGAAAGCUGGGGGAGCGAACCGGAUUAGAUACCCGUGUAGU
rnacentral:rRNA from 1 species